UGGGGAAUUUUGGACAAUGGGCGAAAGCCUGAUCCAGCAAUGCCGCGUGUGUGAAGAAGGCCUUCGGGUUGUAAAGCACUUUUGUCCGGAAAGAAAUCCUUGGCUCUAAUACAGUCGGGGGAUGACGGUACCGGAAGAAUAAGCACCGGCUAACUACGUGCCAGCAGCCGCGGUAAUACGUAGGGUGCAAGCGUUAAUCGGAAUUACUGGGCGUAAAGCGUGCGCAGGCGGUUUGCUAAGACCGAUGUGAAAUCCCCGGGCUCAACCUGGGAACUGCAUUGGUGACUGGCAGGCUAGAGUAUGGCAGAGGGGGGUAGAAUUCCACGUGUAGCAGUGAAAUGCGUAGAGAUGUGGAGGAAUACCGAUGGCGAAGGCAGCCCCCUGGGCCAAUACUGACGCUCAUGCACGAAAGCGUGGGGAGCAAACAGGAUUAGAUACCCUGGUAGUCCACGCCCUAAACGAUGUCAACUAGUUGUGGGGAUUCAUUUCCUUAGUAACGUAGCUAACGCGUGAAGUUGACCGCCUGGGGAGUACGGUCGCAAGAUUAAAACUCAAAGGAAUUGACGGGGUCAUAGCUGUUUCCU
rnacentral:rRNA from 1 species